AGAACGAACGCUGGCGGCAUGCCUAACACAUGCAAGUCGAACGCUCUUGAGGCUUCGGUUUCAAGGGAGUGGCGCACGGGUGAGUAGCGCGUGGGAACCUGCCCUGUUGUGGGGGAUAACCGAGGGAAACUUCGGCUAAUACCGCAUGCGCCCGGGGAAACCCGGGAAAGAUUUAUCGCAGCAGGAGGGCCCGCGUCGGAUUAGGUAGUUGGUGGGGUAACGGCCCACCAAGGCAUCGACGGGUAGCUGGUCUGAGAGGACGAUCAGCCACACUGGGACUGAGACACGGCCCAGACUCCUACGGGAGGCAGCAGUGGGGAAUCUUGCGCAAUGGGCGAAAGCCUGACGCAGCAACGCCGCGUGGAGGACGAAGGCUUUCUGAGUUGUAAACUCCUUUCAGCAGGACGAUAGUGACGGUACCUGCAGAAGAGCACCGGCCAACUACGCGCCAGCAGCCGC
rnacentral:rRNA from 1 species